UGCGAACGUUGCAGCGAGGCCAUCAA
rnacentral:piRNA from 1 species